AUCAAACUUGAGAGUUUGAUCCUGGCUCAGAACGAACGCUGGCGGCGUGCUUAACACAUGCAAGUCGAACGAAGGCCCUAGCUUGCUAGGUGUCCUUAGUGGCGAACGGGUGAGUAACGCGUGGGAACCUACCUUGAGGUAAAGAAUAACUACAGGAAACUGUAGCUAAUACUUUAUAUGCCCUACGGGGGAAAGAUUUAUCGCCUUUUGAGGGGCCCGCGUCAGAUUAGCUUGUUGGUGAGGUAACGGCUUACCAAGGCUCUGAUCUGUAGCUGGUUUGAGAGGAUGAUCAGCCACAUUGGGACUGAGACACGGCCCUGACUCCUACGGGAGGCAGCAGUGGG
rnacentral:rRNA from 1 species